CUAGAACUCAUCAGCCAAAUUCUGAAUACAAAAAAAGCUACAUUCUCACUCGUUUAUUUACAGCAAACAAAUACCAAACAUAUCCACACACCAAAGUGUUUUACUUUACAUCACACCCAAAUACGGUUUUAAAAAGAUGAUUCUUUCAAAAUUUCAAGGUAAAAAAAAGGGCAAAUGUGUGUAUUACUAAACUAGAGAAGCCUCCUCCUGAAGGUUCUGGUUGUUGAUUGGUAAGUACGAACUAGAAGACCGACACCAAUCCCAAGACCAACACAGACACCAAGUCCUAU